GGUCUGAAGGUAGUGAGUUACCUCAACCGAUUGUUCGCAGUCAGUUACAGAUCAAACCCCUUGUUCAGCUCUUUCUACCCUUCUCACUACUGCACUCACCACAA
rnacentral:sRNA from 1 species